rnacentral:rRNA from 1 species
GGCGAACGCUGGCGGCGUGCUUAACACAUGCAAGUCGAACGGAAAGGCCCUGCUUUUGUGGGGUGCUCGAGUGGCGAACGGGUGGGUAACACGUGAGUAACCUGCCCUUGACUUUGGGAUAACUUCAGGAAACUGGGGCUAAUACCGGAUAGGAGCUCCUGCUGCAUGGUGGGGGUUGGAAAGUUUCGGCGGUUGGGGAUGGACUCGCGGCUUAUCAGCUUGUUGGUGGGGUAGUGGCUUACCAAGGCUUUGACGGGUAGCCGGCCUGAGAGGGUGACCGGCCACAUUGGGACUGAGAUACGGCCCAGACUCCUACGGGAGGCAGCAGCGGGGAAUAUUGCACAAUGGGCGGAAGCCUGAUGCAGCAACGCCGCGUGCGGGAUGACGGCCUUCGGGUUGUAAACCGCUUUCGCCUGUGACGAAGCGUGAGUGACGGUAAUGGGUAAAGAAGCACCGGCUAACUACGUG